AUUGAACGCUAGCGGGAUGCCUUACACAUGCAAGUCGAACGGAGUGGCGAACGGGUGAGUAAUGUAUCGGAACGUGCCCAGUAGCGGGGGCUAACGACGCGAAAGCGUAGCUAAUACCGCAUACUAUUAGAGCCGCCGAUAUCGGAUUAGCUAGGUGGGGGGGUCAAGGCUUACCAAGGCGACGAUCCGUAACUGGUUUGAGAGGAGGACCAGACACACUGGAACUGAGACACGGCCCAGACUCCUACGGUAGGCAGCAUGGGGGAAUUUUGGACAAUGGGGGAAACCCUGAUCCAGCCAUCCCGCGUGUGCGAUGAAGGCCUUCGGAUUGUAAAGCACUUUUGGUAGGGAAGCGGUACCUGCAGAAUAAGCACCGGCUAACUACGUGCCAGCAGCCGCGGUAAUAC
rnacentral:rRNA from 1 species